UUAGCCGUAAGUGAACCUGCGGAAGGAUCAUUAUAGAAAUACAGCUGUUGCUGGCCUUCUCGGCACGUGCACGCUUGUCAUCUUUUUAUCUCUCCAAACUGUGCACAUAUUGUAGACCCUGGGAUUCAUUUCGAGUUGGGAUGCAGGGUCUAUGUCAUCUUUCACAACCUCUUUUGCAUGUUUUAGAAUGUUAAAAAGUUAUAAAAUAUACAACUUUCAGCAACGGAUCUCUUGGCUCUCGCAUCGAUGAAGAACGCAGCGAAAUGCGAUAAGUAAUGUGAAUUGCAGAAUUCAGUGAAUCAUCGAAUCUUUGAACGCAUCUUGCGCUCCUUGGUAUUCCGAGGAGCAUGCCUGUUUGAGUGUCAUUUAAAAGUUCUCAACCGCAUCUCGUGGCUUGGACAUGGAGGUUUUUUGCAGGCUUCCCUGGUUGAGGUCUGCUCCUCUGAAACGCAUUAGUGGUAUCUGAGCAACUAUGGGCAUGUGAUAACUAUCUUAUGGCCCCUUUGCAUGAACAGAUUGGACUGCUUCCAACCCACCCCACAUUUUGAUGAAUUUGACCUCAAAUCAGGUAGGACUACCCGCUGAACUUAAGCAUAUCAAUAAGC
rnacentral:rRNA from 1 species